rnacentral:rRNA from 1 species
GUUUAUUUGAUAGUACCUUACUACAUGGAUACCUGUGGUAAUUCUAGAGCUAAUACAUGCUAAAAACCUCGACUUCGGAAGGGGUGUAUUUAUUAGAUAAAAAACCAAUGCCCUUCGGGGCUCCUUGGUGAGUCAUAAUAACUUAACGAAUCGCAUGGCCUUGCGCCGGCGAUGGUUCAUUCAAAUUUCUGCCCUAUCAACUUUCGAUGGUAGGAUAGUGGCCUACCAUGGUGGCAACGGGUAACGGGGAAUUAGGGUUCGAUUCCGGAGAGGGAGCCUGAGAAACGGCUACCACAUCCAAGGAAGGCAGCAGGCGCGCAAAUUACCCAAUCCCGACACGGGGAGGUAGUGACAAUAAAUACUGAUACGGGGCUCUUUUGGGUCUCGUAAUUGGAAUGAGUACAAUUUAAAUCCCUUAACGAGGAACAAUUGGAGGGCAAGUCUGGUGCCAGCAGCCGCGGUAAUUCCAGCUCCAAUAGCGUAUAUUAAAGUUGUUGCAGUUAAAAAGCUCGUAGUUGAACCUUGGGUCUGGCUGGCCGGUCCGCCUCACCGCGAGUACUGGUCCGGCUGGACCUUUCCUUCUGGGGAACCCCAUGGCCUUCACUGGCUGUGGGGGGAACCAGGACUUUUACUGUGAAAAAAUUAGAGUGUUCAAAGCAGGCCUUUGCUCGAAUACAUUAGCAUGGAAUAAUAGAAUAGGACGUGCGGUUCUAUUUUGUUGGUUUCUAGGACCGCCGUAAUGAUUAAUAGGGAUAGUCGGGGGCGUCAGUAUUCAGCUGUCAGAGGUGAAAUUCUUGGA